rnacentral:rRNA from 1 species
CGCUCUCUGUAUGAAAGUGCUUAAAUAGAGAGUCGGACCUGCCCAGUGACAUGCGUGUUAAACGGCCGCGGUACUCUGACCGUGCAAAGGUAGCAUAAUCACUUGCCUUUUAAUUGGAGGCUUGUAUGAAUGGUUUGACGAGAGCUAAGCUGUCUCCUUUUUAAAUAUUUAAAAAUUAAUUUAUAGGUGAAGAGGCCUAUAUAUAUUUGAGGGACAAGAAGACCCUGUUGAGUUUGAGUGUAACCUGAAGUUAAAUUUGUUUAAUUUAUAGUUAAAUUAUGGACAGUAAAACUGUAUAUAGUAGAGGUUGGGUUUUUGGUAAAUCUUUAGUUGGGGCGACUGAGGAAUAUAUUAGGCUUCCUUUAAGUUGUAUUAUGGCUGUCAAGUUAGUUUGAUCCAGUUUUUAUUGAUCAAAGGAAAAAAUUACCACAGGGAUAACAGCGUAAUCUUUUUGGAGAGUUCUUAUCGAAGAAAGGGUUUGCGACCUCGAUGUUGGACUAAGNUAUCCCAAGGGUGUAGAAGCUUUUGAGGGUUGGUCUGUUCGAC